rnacentral:tRNA from 1 species
UCGGUUUGUAGUUUAAUUGGUAAAACAUAGUUCUCAUGAAGCUAACAAUGUAGGUUCAAUCCCUGCCAAACCGAG